CUUCCCCUAUCCAACUCCCCUCCUUUCCCUCCCCCUCCACUCCCUCYCUGCCUGCCCCUCCUUCCCCUUCCCUUUCCCCUCCUUUCCUCUCCCAUACUUUCCUCUCCCCCCCCUCCCCUCUUUUCUCUCUGCUCCCCUCCUUCUUCUAUCCCCGUCCUCUCCCCAUCCCCUCUGCUUCCCUUCCAAUGGCAUGGAGUAAUCUUAGAAGGCCUGUGCUGAGGCAUUAGGUAAAAWAUUAAGUGCCUUGCCCAGCACUGGAUCACAGCUCAUCCCUCGAUCUCUUUUGUGAGCUGAGAUCUGACCCCAGUCUCUUUGGAUGUGCACUCAACUUGACACUGGGACUUUAUGGUGACGUUGCUUCCACACGACUCUUCUAACAUUCAGCGGCUGCUCCUGCCAUUUAUGUCGACGCCUCCUCUGCACUUCACCAGAUGAAGAACAAUAAUGCCUUCAUUCUGAAAUCCGGGAUUCUUGGUCGCUCCUUAUUCCUCGGCAGUGGUACCUACAUGAACACAGCUUGGACAUCAACCCCCACAAGCAUCAAUGGUGAUGCAAAGGUUUCAGCUAAUAUCCCAUCCAUACCACCCUCAGUCAGAGAAAGUGAAUUGGUGGAGACAGCAAGGGAGAACACGUUCUGAAGUGAGAGCCACAUGGAAUUUGGAGAAAUCAAGAGAAAUGCUAUGUCAAGACACUUUCUCUUCUUUGUCGUGGGUUGCCAUUCCUUUCCUCAACUGUAUAGAUGUUUGAACUACUCCUGACUAUGUUCACUAAAUAAGAAAUCACAAUAUGUUAGCCAGUUUUUGGCAGAACUCUAUCCAACUUGUCUUGGAGCAAAAGAGAAAAGGCCUUAGUGGAAGGAGAGGAUGGCUCUACUGCCUUUUCUCUUUUUUUCUACAUUCCCACCAGUUCAGUCCCAAUGACUCUGCACAGAUAUGCUACCUGAUGACUGCAAACUGGGAAGUCUUCUUUCCUUCUGGUGUCCCCUUAUCCUU